rnacentral:tRNA from 1 species
GGCGCUGUGGCUUAGUUGGUUAAAGCGCCUGCCUAGUAAACAGGAGAUCCUGGGUCCAAAUCCCAGCAGUGCCU